CUGACCUGCCGACCAGACUGGGACCCCAACAGUCCAAUGCAGCCACAGGAGAUACUGGUACACCUGAAGCCAUGGCACCCAUCAUUGUGGUUACCCCAGGCAAUAGAAACGUGGUAACUGGGUCCAGUGAGACCACCUUGGAGUGCAUAGCCAGUGCCAGGCUUGUGGAAGAGCUGAGUGUGCACUGGAAGAGAAAUGGUGUGAGAUUGACCAGUG